GACGGAGGGUGCUAGCGUUGUUCGGAAUUACUGGGCGUAAAGGGCGCGUAGGCGGCCCGUCGAGUCGGGUGUGAAAGCCCGGGGCUCAACCCCGGAACGGCACCCGAGACUGGCGGGCUCGAGACCGGGAGAGGAGGGUGGAAUACCCAGUGUAGAGGUGAAAUUCGUAGAUAUUGGGUGGAACACCGGUGGCGAAAGCGGCUCUCUGGCCCGGUUCUGACGCUGAGGCGCGAAAGCGUGGGGAGCAAACAGG
rnacentral:rRNA from 1 species